ACUCCUACGGGAGGCAGCAGUCGAGAGGCUUCGGCAAUGGGGGAAACCCUGACCGAGCGACGCCGCGUGGGUGAUGAAGUCCUUCGGGAUGUAAAACCCUGUCAUACGGGAUGAAAAACCGAUCGGUUAAUAGCCUUUCAGUUUGACAGUACUGUAAGAGGAAGCUCCGGCUAACUCCGUGCCAGCAGCCGCGGUAAUACGGGGGGAGCGAGCGUUAUUCGGAUUCACUGGGCGUAAAGGGUUCGUAGGCGGUCAAGUAAGUCAGGGGUGAAAUCUAACGGCUUAACCGUUAAACUGCCCUUGAAACCGCUUGACUUGAGGACAUGAGAGGAAAGCGGAAUUCUUGGUGUAGCGGUGAAAUGCGUGGAUAUCAAGAGGAACACCAGUGGCGAAGGCGGCUUUCUGGCAUGUUACUGACGCUGAGGAACGAAAGUCAGGGGAGCGAACGGGAUUAGAUACCCCGGUAGUCCUGACUGUAAACGAUGGGCACUAGGUGUGGGAGGUAUCGACCCCUUCCGUGCCGCAGCUAACGCAUUAAGUGCCCCGCCUGGGGAGUACGGCCGCAAGGUUGAAACUCAMAUGAAUUGACGGA
rnacentral:rRNA from 1 species